AUUGAACGCUGGCGGCAGGCUUAACACAUGCAAGUCGAGCGGAGAUGAGGUGCUUGCACCUUAUCUUAGCGGCGGACGGGUGAGUAAUGCUUAGGAAUCUGCCUAUUAGUGGGGGACAACAUUCCGAAAGGAAUGCUAAUACCGCAUACGUCCUACGGGAGAAAGCAGGGGAUCUUCGGACCUUGCGCUAAUAGAUGAGCCUAAGUCGGAUUAGCUAGUUGGUGGGGUAAAGGCCUACCAAGGCGACGAUCUGUAGCGGGUCUGAGAGGAUGGACAGCCACACUGGGACUGAGACACGGCCCAGACUCCUACGGGAAGCAGCAGUUGGGAAUAUUGGACAAUGGGGGAAACCCUGAUCCAGCCAUGCCGCGUGUGUGAAGAAGGCCUUAUGGUUGUAAAGCACUUUAAGCGAGGAGGAGGCUACUGAGACUAAUACUCUUGGAUAGUGGACGUUACUCGCAGAAUAAGCACCGGCUAACUCUGUGCCAGCAGCCGCCGUAAUAC
rnacentral:rRNA from 1 species